UUUGUACUCCCUCCGUCCCAAAAUUCUUGUCUUACAUUUAUCUAGAUACGGAUGUACCUAAUACUAAAACGUGACUUGAUACAUCCGUAUUUGGACAAAUUCAAGACAAGAAUUUUGGGACGGAGGGAGUACCAA
rnacentral:pre_miRNA from 1 species